rnacentral:rRNA from 1 species
CAGCAGCCGCGGUAAUACGUAGGGUGCAAGCGUUAAUCGGAAUUACUGGGCGUAAAGCGUGCGCAGGCGGUUAUAUAAGACAGAUGUGAAAUCCCCGGGCUCAACCUGGGAACUGCAUUUGUGACUGUAUAGCUAGAGUACGGCAGAGGGGGAUGGAAUUCCGCGUGUAGCAGUGAAAUGCGUAGAUAUGCGGAGGAACACCGAUGGCGAAGGCAAUCCCCUGGGCCUGUACUGACGCUCAUGCACGAAAGCGUGGGGAGCAAACAGGAUUGAUACCCCAGUAGUCCCUGUCUCUUAUACA